GACGAACGCUGGCGGCGUGCCUAAUACAUGCAAGUUGAGCGCUGAAGGGUGGUACUUGUUCCGACUGGAUUAGCAGCGAACGGGUGAGUAACGCGUGGGUAAUCUACCUUUAAGCGUGGGACAACAUUUGGAAACGAAUGCUAAUACCGCAUAAAAACUUUAAACACAUGGUUUAAUAUUGAAAGAUGCAAUUGCAGCACCCAAAGGAUAUCCCGCGUUGUAUUAGCUAGGUUGUGAGGUAAAGGCUCAACAAGGCGAAGAUACAUAACCGGACUGAGAAGGUGGACGGGCCAAUUGGGAAUGAGACAAGGGCCAAAACCCCAAGGGAGGGAGCCGUAGGGAAACUUCCGGAAUGGACCAAAGUCUGGACGGGGAAACGCCGGUGAGGGAAGAAGGUUUUCGGAUCCUUAAAACCUGUUGGUAAGGGAGAACGAUGGUGGGAGUUAACUGCGCACCACGUGACGGUAACUAAUCAGAAAGCGACGGCUAACUACGUG
rnacentral:rRNA from 1 species